rnacentral:rRNA from 2 species
AAAACUUUUAACAACGGAUCUCUUGGUUCUGGCAUCGAUGAAGAACGCAGCGAAAUGCGAUAAGUAAUGUGAAUUGCAGAAUUCAGUGAAUCAUCGAAUCUUUGAACGCACAUUGCGCUCCCUGGUAUUCCGGGGAGCAUGCCUGUUCGAGCGUCAUUA